GGGCGGUGGGGAUGACUGGCAUGAAAGUCGGCGGAGGUUUACGAGAGGACCUGCCUUCGGUGCCACAUGGUGCCGGGUUUGACUCUGGUCAAGCCUGCAACUCUGCGUUUCAGCAACUCCUGGGCCACGCACGGCAUCGUCAACUUGGUCGAUGCCAGAGUGGUGUGCGUGCCAUGGAAAUCCCACUGGCAUUGUGUGUUUCCUCGGCAACAUUCAUUGGCUUCCCCUGCUUCUAUAUCUCCUGAUCCUAUAUGUUGAAGGAGAGAGCUGAGAGAAGUGGACGGAACUUCCCAGACAGGCCUCCUACUAUUCUUCGUCGAUGUGCUACAGGAUAAGGUAUACCAGAUGGAACUUUCUCCAAUCUAUUUGCAGUUAGCUUACUGCUGGUAGAAUAGGAAUUAGGCUGCUACGGCUGGUAUGCUUGCAAUCUGGGAACAGUCAAAGUUAUCCCCUGAUUACUUUGAGGAACAAAUGGAUCUGCAAAUGUGGGAUGCACGCCAAGUGCUCGAGAAAAUGCCUUAAUGGAAUAUGUGAGUAACUAUAUUGUUUCUAUAGCUUGCCACUGUAUAAUAGACCACUUCAAUUUCUGAUUAUUUCAGUUACAUAUUGAAAAAUAUCCGGGAAUGUAUCAUCUUUAAUUUACACGUUUUGGGCACAGUUACCAUCAAGCAAUGUUUAAACCAAUGAAAAUAGUUAAAUGUGUACUCCAAACUUUUGUACCUUUUCUGAUGAAGGAGUUGACCCUUGUAUAGUGCAUAAGUAAUUAUGUUCCUGUGGUGGUAAAGAGAACUGCCCAUCUUUUCCCCCCCUAAGAAUCUUAUCUGUACUUCCCAAGUUUUAACAUUCAUGCAUCUAGAAUAUUAACAUUAAGUUGCUCCCAAGGGAGAAGAUGAUGUACCUGAUUGGAAAGCUAAUUAUUUUCUUUAGCAAAUAAGGAUCUAGCUGCCUGCAAAAUGAAACAUUCAUUUCAUCAUGUUUUCUAAUGUAUUUGUGCAUGUCACCAGUUAUGUACUAAGGAUUCGGGCAUUCUUACUAUCUAGCUCUGUUCAUGGCCUAAUCAAAAUAAAAGCAUACAAUAAAUUUAAAGGGUUCGAUGAAACUCAUUUACCUAGAUAUAAUGGAAAUUAUGUCUACUGUAGUACAUUAUUUGUAUUUUCAAUCAUUUAAACCCUCAGGUUUUGCAUGUACAGCAAAGAUGCAAAGUAGAACCUGGGAAAAUUCAUAUGCAAGCCUAUUAUGGAACCUGGUUACUACUGCCGCCGAAAAUUCUACUGUCUUCAAGAAAAUGUGACAGUUGUUUUCUGUAGCUUGAAACAUGUGGAUGCACUUGACACAUCAAAAUGGUGUUCCAAUAUGUGUAAACUACCAAGGAUCUUAGCGAAGACUCGUAGAUCAAGCCAUUUUUCGUUUGUCUUCAUUAUGACAUAUAUGACACUGGAAUAAGAUUUGCAAGGUCACUUGUAUUGCCUGACCAUACAAUCUGCAUGCGGCUGGUACCAAUUUCAGUUCCCGUGCAUUGAUACAUUCAAAAGCAAUAAAGACUGCAUUCACCCUCCAGGGUCCAGGCACGUUCUCCCUUCCCAACAUUUACAUUGUCAAAACAUAGGUUAGUUUACAAUGAGAUGAAAUUUAUGCAUCUAGAAGAUGUUUUUUUUUUUUUUGCAAUUUGAUGCAUGCUGCCACCUUGAAUGUAUGUUAGGAUUGAUCAGAUGCGGAUGAACAUAACUAGACUUCUGAGAAGUUGCAAACUUGGAACCUUCAAUUUUAUCCCUUGGUACGCUUAGCCUUAUCAGGUCCUAUUGUAACGGUAAUUUCACUCUACUAGGGCAUAUUUGGCACGGCAACGCCGCACACUGUUCUAGUGUAUCUUAUUGACAAAUGGCAAUAACUGGUAAAUUCUAUAUUUUUAUCUGUUUGACACACUUCAAAGAUUUUCCGCACUUGAUACAAAAUGUUCUUGAUUCUACAGUGAUGUAAACAAUUGUACAUUGUUAAUAAAGAAAUGAUAGGAUUUGACUAGUUCUUCAUAUCGCAUAUUAUUUAUAGAAGGAGCCAUUCUGACAACUGGUAACAAUGUAGACUUUAUAUGUUAAUACAUUUCUAAAUACCCUUUCUACGGGCAUAUAUCUGAUGUAACCAAAUGCAGGAUGCAUCCUUAAAAAAAAUCUAGGUUGUUAUGGAAAGAUUGAUUAGCUGAAGCGUCUUAUAUAUGCUAAUUUUCAGCUCUAUUUAUUCAUGGGUUAUUGUUGUUGUUGCUAGUCCUCUAUGUUCCACCACAGGAGAACUGGCAAACCUGAGGUAUGAAUCCCUGAUACAAUGCAUCUCAACAGCUGCAUCCUGCAUUUGUGUCCGCUCCCUAAUUUGUUUCUUUGAGCACGAUAUGCCAAGAGCAAAUACAGAAACCAAACAAUUCUCUAUUCGGCUUCUUCUAGUGCUGUGAUGGGUGGGUGUGUGCAGCCACAUUGUUGCAUCGGCUAUCUCCCAGAUACUAUCAAGAAGAGCAUCCUCUGAAAACUUGUGUAGAUCCAAAGAAUCUCUGAACAUUUCAUCUGUUGGGCUUUUUCCUGUAAACAUCUCAAGCAGCAAUAUGCCGAGGCUAUAGACAUCCCCAAGAGUUGAGAUAGAAGAACCUUCACCAUACUCUAUGAUUGCGCAAAAAGAGUUUUACUUGCACUUUCUGGAAGGAUUCUAGAUAUGCCAAAGUCUCCAACUCGGGCACUCAUGUCUUCUGCAAGAAGAAUGUUGCUUGGCUUGAUAUCACAAUGAACAAUUGGUGGUUCACAAUGAUUAUGAAGAUAGUCCAAAGCAUCCACGAUGUCAACAGCAAUGUCCAAUCUUUGUUCUAGGCUUAGAGUAUUUCUUGGAGUGGGCAUAUCGGAUUUUGGAUGAAGCCAAUCAUUUAAACUACCGUUGGUCAUGAACUCAAAAAUAAGUGCCUUGAACUCUUGGCCUUUGUUAUCGAUGCUUGAGCAGCAUGUCAUGAUCUUUAAUAGACAACGGUGACGCACACUCCUCAUUGCCUCACAUUCAGCCACAAAGCUUCUAGUAGAUCCAGUUUGUUCGAGGUUAAAAACCUUCACAGCGGCUAUAGUUCCUUCAUCUUGGAAGGUGCAUUUGUAUACUGCCCCAAAACUUCCUUUUCCAAUCAAAUUGGCUUCUGAAAAUCCAUUUGUUCCAUUUGCUAAUGAAUGGACUUGUGUGGCAUGGAGUUAAACGAAGUUGAGGUAUUCCACCACAAAGAUCAUUGUUACCGAUGAUUGACAAGUUGGCAAAAGUUCUGAAUAUUCCCUCUUUUGGAACUUCUCCUUGCAAAUUGUUGAAGGACAAAUCCAAUUCUGACAAUGAUGUCAUAUUCUCUAGAGCUAUUGGGAUCUGCCCUGACAAGUUGUUGUGGGAAAGAUACAGUUGUUGCAGAUUUUUGAUACCACCAAUGCCAUCGGGAAUAGAACCAUACAACUUAUUCAUAGAUAAGUUGAGUGUAGCCAGACCCUUUAGAUUGUUCAGAGAUUGAGGUAUAGUUCCCUCGAAUAAGUUAUUGUCCAACCAAAGUCCUUGCAGCACAGUGCAUUUGCCAAUAUCUUCAGGUAUCUCACCAGAUAAUUGAUUCCCAGACAAAACCAGAUUGUUAAUAUUCCCCAAGCUGCCAACUUCAGAGGGAAGAGGUCCUGAUAGUAAAUUGUAUGAUAAAGAUAGGACGUUGGAAACAAGUGGUAGCUUGAAAAUCUCUCCAGGGAUGGAACCAUUUAGGCGGUUCGUCGAGAGAUCAAGGGAUAUCAGGUUCUUGAGCUUCCCUAUGCUUGCUGGAAUAGCUCCCUCUAGUUCGCCAUUCUGUGCAAACAGAUUAGUCAACUUUGAGAGAUUCCCGAUAGAUGGUGGUAUGAGGCCAGACAAGUUAGUGUAGGACAGAGUUAGAUCAACCAAGUUUUCCAACUUGCCAAUGGUCUCCGGAAUCACUCCUGAUAUGUAAGUAUUUGUAGCACCGAGGAAUUCAAGGUUGACCAGAUUGCUGAUGGCUAAAGGGAUGGUGCCGGAUAUCCCAGUGUCCUCGAAGCGGAGAAUUUGUAGGGUCCUUGAGAGAUUUACAAUUGAACUCGGCAGCUGACCGGUAAAACCGGCGUUGUCGGUGAUGAUUAACUCGCGGAGCUGGCUGCAGUUUGACAGAGAAGUAAUGAAUUCCCACCCAGUCCUGUCGUUUGCUUGUAGCAUGUUGCUGUACAGGUAUAGCUGCUGCAGAGCUUGUAGUCUCCCCCCUAGGGUGUGAGGCACAUAUCCACUAAGCCUAUUUAUUUGGAGUUGAAGCACUUGAAGAGCAGUAAGGUUGGAGAGUGAGGCAGGGAUGGCUCCGGUGAACUGGUUCUUAGCAAUGUUAAGUGUAUUCAUGUUGGGGAACCUAGUGCCAAUGUCAGCGGGAAUGCCUCCGUAGAACAUGUUCCCCUGAACCUGAAACGUCUCCAAGGAAGACAAUUUGUACAAGGAGUGAGGGAGCUCGCCAGAGAAGAGAUUGAAAGCAAGGUCCAGGGCGCGGAGGCCCUUGAUGCUACCGAGGCUAGAAGGAAGGGUGCCCCCAAGCUGGUUGAACCCGAGGGAGAGGGUUGUGAGCGAUGACAAGUUGGCCAAAGAUGACGGGACAGUGCCAGUGAAGUUGUUCUGCGCUAGCCCAAGUAUCUUGAGACGUGUCAGCUUGUCACCGAAACCGAGCUCAGCGGGUAUGCGCCCGUGGAGAUGGUUGUAGUGGAGGGCCAGGAAGGUUAGGUCGAUGCAAGAGGUCAGGUUGGUUGGGAGCUCACCGGAGAAGGAGUUGUAGCCCAGGUCGAGAAUGCGGAGGCGUUGCAAGCGCCCGAGGUUCUCGGGGAUGUCUCCGCUGAACCCGUUGGAACUCAGGUUGAGAAACCUGAGUGACGACAGGUUGCCGAUGGCCGGGGAAAGGGAACCACCGAGCCCGUGGGAGGGCAGGUUCAGUGCCACCACGCGGAGGCGCCCGCUGCCUCGGCACCUCACCCCCUCCCAGUUGCAGUAUCCGCCGCCGGUGCUGGUGUUCCAUGACGCGAGCAGGCCGCCAUGCCCGCCGGUGAUCGCGGCAGCCUUGAAGGCCAGCAGGGCGGCCUCGUCAUCGGCUCCUGCGCCCACCACGGGUGUUGAUAUGGAAACUGAGGAUAGCAGCAGCAGCAACAGCAAGCUUGCUGCUGAGCAGCGCAUUACCAUCGCGAGCGGUUCGUGCGCGUGAGCCUGUGGGUAUGAACAGGAGCAGCAGCAGGCUUGGUGGGAGUACAUUACAUGAUGCUUUAGUUAUACUGUGGACCGUUGAACUUGAACUGAUGUCCGGCCUUCGGGAGGCUCCGGUCAAAGUCUCGGUAGAAGCUUCGUCCUAACUUACAGUCACCCCCCGCCGAGCAAGCCGUGUCCGCAGUGGAACACCGAGUGGAAGAUGCAAAGCACAACGGGCGGAGGCUGACCCGGCCCCGGGUUAAGUCAAGAGUAAACGGCAGUCCCACCAGCGUGACCAUUUAGCUACAUGAUUUUUU